GAGAUUUCAUUCGCACUAGUGGAUAGCUAGUUUCCCCGAAAAGAUAUAAAAGUGUUGGGGAAAAUAUNCUUUAUAAUAUGAAUUUUUAUAUAUAUAUAUGUAUUUCACUAAUUUUUUUGAGGAUAAGCUCAGGAAAAAAGUUAAGGAUUUUUUAAUUAAGUUUGCUGUAUAGGCUUAAAAUUGGCCAUUAUAAAAGUUUUUUUUAAAAUAACAAUUUUGGUUUUAUAAAUAAAAAUAAUUUAGACUAACACUAUACGGGGACAAAAACUUUAGCUUAAAUAAGUUUUAUGCCUAUGCUAGAAUGAGUAUUAAAAUUUAAUUAUAAGGGAUCUACUUAUAUCUCCUUUAAAAAAAAUCAAAAAAAUUAAUUAAUUAGAAGGAACUCGGCAAAUUUAGUUGUUCCGCCUGUUUAUCAAAAACAUGGCUCUUUGGUUGUAUAAAUAUAAGGAGUCGAGCCUGCCC
rnacentral:rRNA from 1 species